GCUCCACAGCUAUACACAAAGAUCUGUAUUUAUCUAUAUUUUACGAUAUCCGGGGACUUAAAUAAAUUCGUUGCAAAUUAUUCUACAAUAUUUCAAUAUCCAAUAAAUUUCAGCCGAAUCUUAAGGUUUCUCCAUUAUGUACACUUCAUCGUUUUCUUAACAGUCGUUGUCGUUUUGAGUGCGGGCUCCAUUUUAUUUUUGUUUUUUUUCUAACAAUCCAAACAAGUGCGAUACAUCUAAUUC